CCUACGGGAGGCAGCAGUGGGGAAUAUUGCACAAUGGGGGAAACCCUGAUGCAGCGACGCCGCGUGAGUGAAGAAGUAUUUCGGUAUGUAAAGCUCUAUCAGCAGGGAAGAAAAUGCCGGUACCUCAUGAAGAAGCCCCGCCUAAUUACUUGCCAGCAGCCGCGGUAAUACGUAGGGGGCAACGGUUAGCCGGAUUGACUGGGUGUAAAGGGUUCGUAGGCGGCAGGACAAGUCUGGAGUGAAAUGCCGGGGCUUAACCCCGGAACUGCUUUGGACACUGUGCAGCUAGAGGGCGGGAGAGGUAAGUGGAAUUCCUGGUGUAGCGGUGAAAUGCGUAGAUAUUAGGAGGAACAGCAGUGGCGAAGGCGGCUUACUGGACUGUAACUGACGUUGAGGAUCGAAAGCGAGGGGAGCAAACAGGAUUAGAUACCCGUGUAGUC
rnacentral:rRNA from 1 species